rnacentral:piRNA from 1 species
UGCUUUUGACAUAAAUAACUACCCUUCUU